rnacentral:rRNA from 1 species
GAUGAACGCUGGCGGCGUGCCUAAUACAUGCAAGUCGAGCGAACAGAUGAGGAGCUUGCUCCUCUGACGUUAGCGGCGGACGGGUGAGUAACACGUGGAUAACCUACCUAUAAGACUGGGAUAACUUCGGGAAACCGGAGCUAAUAUCGGAUAAUAUAUUGAACCGCAUGGUUCAAUAGUGAAAGACGGUUUUGCUGUCACUUAUAGAUGGAUCCGCGCCGCAUUAGCUAGUUGGUAAGGUAACGGCUUACCAAGGCAACGAUGCGUAGCCGACCUGAGAGGGUGAUCGGCCACACUGGAACUGAGACACGGUCCAGACUCCUACGGGAGGCAGCAGUAGGGAAUCUUCCGCAAUGGGCGAAAGCCUGACGGAGCAACGCCGCGUGAGUGAUGAAGGUCUUCGGAUCGUAAAACUCUGUUAUUAGGGAAGAACAAAUGUGUAAGUAACUAUGCACGUCUUGACGGUACCUAAUCAGAAAGCCACGGCUAACUACG